CGGUCCACCCGUUAUAUUAUCAUUUUUAGCGCUGUAAUUAUUUUUAAAAAGAUAAUUAUUUUCUCUUGACCUCCCAUUUAAAUUCUUUAAUUUAUCGUAAAGGACUUCUCAUGUGACGUCACACUGUACGGAACAUAGUUGUUGAACCGUUCCUUGUCGUUUAAUUCGUGUUCCGUGAGAGUUUGACGUUUUCCUCGCUGACUGUGGGAGGAAUGAGAGGCACUUGGCCGGUGGCUGCGAGGUUGACAGGUUGGUGUUGGUGGUUAGUACCGUAAAUGGCGGUUAAUUUCUUCGAAAUUAAUUUUUAUUUCAACUAAGUUUGGAAGUAUAGUAAAAAGUUACCACCACUUGUUUCCUGGAGUACGGGUUUCCUGGAGUAAGGAUGGGAGUACCAUCAGUGGAAGAGGAAUAAAAAAUUAACCGCCGUUUGGAAGAAAACUAACCCUCAUGUGAUGUCGUACCCACCUUGACUACCUAGGGAAGCCACCUUGACCUUAUUGCAGCUACCGCCAAGUCAAACUGGGAGUAUGUUUUGGGAACAAGUUUUUGGGGGACAUUCCAGCUCCUUUUCGUCCUGCCACCUGGGCCUACGGGGGGGGGCAUGGAGGUGCAUCAUAGUGAUGCUCAUUUUCUAGGAUGCAACCGCAACCUCGUUUGGGAACAUUUAGUGAGGAGUUUUAGUAACUAUUGGUUUUUUUUAUAUUUCAGACUAUCUGUUAAAUACACUAUGUUUUUUUUUUCCAGAUUUAGGUUACCUCUGUUUUUUUUGACAUAUGUAUUUGUAUAUUAGAUUAUUUGGUUCCCAAACUUUGUAUCUACGGUAACUUCUUGUGCACAGGAAUAAGCCUAGAGAAAAUUAGGUUUUUAAUACUUUAUUAUUGCUUUGAUAUUGGUUUAUGUAAUUCGGGUAAAUUUAUUUUGUAACAUUACUUGCUUGUUUCCCAAAUAUUGUAUUUAUUCGCUUUAUUUCGUUUGUUCGGUUACUUCGUCGUUACUUUAUUUCAUUGCAUUUGCUCGGUUAAUUUAGGUCAUUUUGUCGGUAUUUUUCUUAACUUCACUUCUAUAACGUUUAUUCAUUUGUAUAUUUAAUUUUGCUUUAUUCAGUAUUGUAUUUUCUCUUAGUGAGGCUUGGGCCUAUUUAUUUGUAUUAUUUUCAUCUUCGUCGGUUUCCUUUAGUUGUACGUAGCAGGCGUACUAUAACCAUUUGGUAGAAGACUUAUGUAAUUUUGUACCCUAUAUGUUAGUAAGAGGUACUUAUAUUUAAGUUUGUAACAGAUAACAUUAUUGUUGUUAUCUUUAAAAUAUAUAUAUAUAUCUUCUUGUAUAACCUAUGUCAUUUUAGAGUCACAGCAUAAUAUGAACUUGCUUAACUCAGAGAUUGUUAAAAAUCUGGUAGUUAUUUUUAAUAAAUAUGUUUAUUUAUUUUGUA
rnacentral:lncRNA from 1 species